rnacentral:rRNA from 1 species
CCCUUAGAUGUCCUGGGCCGCACGCGCGCUACACUGUUCGACGCAGCGAGUCUUAACCUUGACCGAAAGGUUUGGGUAAUCUUCAGCAAAGUCGAACGUGAUGGGGAUCGAUCAUUGCAAUUAUUGAUCGUGAACGAGGAAUUCCUAGUAAGUGCAAGUCAUCAGCUUGCGCUGAUUACGUCCCUGCCCUUUGUACACACCGCCCGUCGCUACUACCGAUUGAAUGGUUUAGUGAGAUCUCUGGAUUGACGCUGGCUAGGGGGCGACCCUUGGCCAGACUGCUCGAGAAACUGCUCAAACUUGAUCAUUUAGAGGAAGUAAAAGUCGUAACA